rnacentral:rRNA from 1 species
GACGAACGCUGGCGGCGUGCUUAACACAUGCGAGUCGAACGGAAAGGCCCUGCUUUUGUGGGGUGCUCGAGUGGCGAACGGGUGAGUAACACGUGAGUAACCUGCCCUUGACUUUGGGAUAACUUCAGGAAACUGGGGCUAAUACCGGAUAGGAGCUCCUGCUGCAUGGUGGGGGUUGGAAAGUUUCGGCGGUUGGGGAUGGACUCGCGGCUUAUCAGCUUGUUGGUGGGGUAGUGGCUUACCAAGGCUUUGACGGGUAGCCGGCCUGAGGGGGUGACCGGCCACAGUGGGACUGACAUACGGCACAGACUCCUACGGGAGGCAGCAGUGGGGAAUAUUGCACAAUGGGCGGAAGCCUGAUGAAGCAACGCCGCGUGCGGGAUGACGGCCUUCGGGUUGUAAACCGCUUUCGCCUGUGACGAAGCGUGAGUGACGGUAAUGGGUAAAGAAGCACCGGCUAACUACGUG